rnacentral:rRNA from 1 species
GCCCAGACUCCUACGGGAGGCAGCAGUGGGGAAUAUUGCACAAUGGGGGAAACCCUGAUGCAGCAACGCCGCGUGAGUGAAGAAGUAUUUCGGUAUGUAAAGCUCUCUCAGCAGGGAAGAAAAUGACAGUACCUGACUAAGAAGCCCCGGCUAACUACGUGCCAGCAGCCGCGGUAAUACGUAGGGGGCAAGCGUUAUCCGGAUUUACUGGGUGUAAAGGGGGCGCAGACGGCAGCGCAAGCCAGGAGUGAAAGCCCGGGGCCCAACCCCGGGACUGCUCUUGGAACUGCGCGGCUGGAGUGCAGGAGGGGCAGGCGGAAUUCCUGGUGUAGCGGUGAAAUGCGUAGAUAUCAGGAGGAACACCGGUGGCGAAGGCGGCCUACUGGACUGCGACUGACGUUGAGGCCCGAAAGCGUGGGGAGCAAACAGGAUUAGAUACCCCUGUA